UUCUGCAUUGUACACACAGGAAGACUUUUAAGAGAAGGGUGUGGGCCUGAGUGAUGGUUCUGCAUCCAUCCAGGAAGUACUUGCUUCUUAAGCACAAGGCCCGGGUUGAAUCCAGCUCCUCUUCCAUCUGUCUGAGACCAGGGCUCACAAGGAAGAAGCAGAAAGAUGAGAAAGAAGAGGAUGAGGAGCAAAGGGAGACGAACUGGAAGUGUUGGCACAGACCCGUAAUCCCAGCAAUACGUGUCAGAAGCAGGAAGACCACUCAGUUCAAAGCCAGCCUGGGCGACACAGCAAGUAAAAUCCGUCCUCAGAAAACUUCACAAGUAUCUGUAUAAAGCAACCAUGGACAAGCCUGGGCUACCCAGAAAGAAACCUAGAGGCCUUGAACAGGGGCUCCACCAAUGAGCCACACCCACAACUUUCCUCUUGCAAGUCCUGCGGAUGAGCCCCAGGUCCUCAGGCAUGCUAGCAAAAGACGUGCAACCCUGAGUCUUUCCUUUUGGAACCCCAGAAUGCCCAAGGUCCCAGGUCCGAGGUCCGCCAGAAGAUCCUAAGAGCUAGGGCCGGAAGCUGGAGAAACCAUUAACCAGGGGACUAGAGUGAUCCUCAGAUAAAAGUGUUAGAGCCGAUUAGGACCUAGGCAACCACACACACACACACACACACACACACACACACACACGCACACACUUACUUAAUACUGUCACCCUCAAACACUCGCACCUGCUCACGUGCUCAAGAAUACACACCCAAAUGAUGCGUUCAGAUCUCCGUUUCAUUCGCACACGUGUAAUAGUUGCAACACACUUCACACCCAUCAUACCUGUGCACACACUCCCAUGAAUGUCUACACAUGGGACCAAUGGCCCAUCCUCAGGAUGGGAGCAGACGGAGCCUGAAUAAGUCACUUUUCUGUUGCUGCAACACAAAGGACUUAGGAGAGAAAGAAAGGGUUGGGCUUUGACUUUCAGCUCCAGAAGGGAUGCCAUCCAUGGUGGUGGGGAAGCCCAGCAGCAGGACCAUGAGGCGGCUGCUCACAUCAAAUCUACAGUCAGGAAGCAGAGAGAGGCGAAUGCUGGGGCUCAGCCCAUUUCUCCAUUUGAUUCGAUCUAAGGACGGUGCCACCCACGGCUAAGGUCUGCACUGCUGAGAUGAGAGGAAUGCACCAGCCAGGAGGUGGUGGCGCACGCCUUUAAUCCCAGCACUUGGGAGGCAGAGGCAGGCGGAUUUCUGAGUUCCAGGCCAGCCUGGUCUACAAAGUGAGUUCCAGGACAGCCAGGGCUACACAAAGAAACCCUGUCUCGAAAAACCAAAAAGAAAAAAUAAAAGAGAGAGGUGCGCACUGCCUGAGCUGGUCUGUGCUUGAAAAUUCCCCUCCCCUUAGCCGCUGUUUUAGCUGGAUCAUCGUUUAGUUUGUCACUUCCAAUUUUGUCCCUGGCUACACUUUGUCCUUUUUUUAGUUCGAUUAAAAUCCUAAUUAAAAUUCUUUGAGAGGAAAUAAUAAUAAAAAUAGACCCGUGCCAGCGACGCUUCCGUCUGCAGGGUUGUGUUGAUGAAUUAUCCAAGGAUCCAGCGUGGAGAGGCCCUGACUCCAGAGCUCAGGAGGCGGUGGCAGCCGGCCUGCAGCCAGCUGGACUCCUAUUGGCUGUCCAUCACAAGUGCCACUCAGCUCCUGGGUAAUAGAUUCUAUCUACAGAGACAGACAUAGGCCCAAGUGUAUGAGGUCAGCAUUCGGGAAACCUGGAGGCAGAAGGAUCAGGAGUUCAAAGUCAUCACUGGUUAAGAUCGGGGCUUUGGGGCUGGAGAGAUGGCUCAGUGGUUAAGAGCACCGACUGCUCUUCCGAAGGUCCUGAGUUCAAAUCCCAGCAACCACAUGGUGGCUCACAACCAUCCGUAAUGAGAUCUGACGCUCUCUUCUGGUGCAUCUGAUAUAGUGUACUUUGAUAUAAUAAUAAAUAAAUCUUUUUUUAAAAAA